GUUAAAAAAAGGCCGAAUCCAGUUCAUCACAAGAGCUGGUACGGGGGAUUCUUUACAUGGGGUGAAUGUUCGUCUGUCUCGAACUAGGGAAAACCUCUUCCCGAAUCCGUCAACUAACCUCGAAGGCCGCAGGAGGAACAACU
rnacentral:sRNA from 2 species